rnacentral:rRNA from 1 species
AGCGAACGUUAGCGGCGGGCCUAACACAUGCAAGUCGAGCGAGAAAGGGGCUUCGGCCCUGAGUAAAGCGGCGGACGGGUGAGUAACACGUAGGUAAUCUUCCUUCGAGCGGGGGACAACGAGCCGAAAGGCUCGCUAAUACCGCAUACGUUCCCAGAGACUCUGGUCCUUGGGAGGAAAGCUAGGUAGCAAUAUCCGGCACUCGAUGAGGAGCCGGCGUCGCAUCAGCUAGUUGGUGGGGUAACGGCCUACCAAGGCGAAGACGCGUAGCUGGUCUGAGAGGAUGAUCAGCCACACUGGGACUGAGACACGGCCCAGACUCCUACGGGAGGCAGCAGUGGGGAAUAUUGGACAAUGGGCGCAAGCCUGAUCCAGCCACACCGCGUGAGUGAUGAAGGCCUUCGGGUCGUAAAGCUCUGUGGGGAGGGACGAACCGCUGCACGUGAAUAUCGUGCAGCAUGACGGUACCUCCUUAGCAAGCACCGGCUAACUUCGUGCCAGCCGCCGCCGUAAUAC